rnacentral:rRNA from 1 species
AACGAACGCUGGCGGCAGGCCUAACACAUGCAAGUCGAGCGAGGACUUCGGUUCUAGCGGCGGACGGGUGAGUAUCGCGUGGGAAUGUGCCCUUCUCUACGGAAUAGCCCUGGGAAACUGGGAGUAAUACCGUAUACGCCCUUUUGGGGAAAGAUUUAUCGGAGAAGGAUCAGCCCGCGUUGGAUUAGGUAGUUGGUGGGGUAAUGGCCUACCAAGCCGACGAUCCAUAGCUGGUUUGAGAGGAUGAUCAGCCACACUGGGACUGAGACACGGCCCAGACUCCUACGGGAGGCAGCAGUGGGGAAUCUUAGACAAUGGGGGCAACCCUGAUCUAGCCAUGCCGCGUGAGUGAUGAAGGCCUUAGGGUUGUAAAGCUCUUUCAGCUGGGAAGAUAAUGACGGUACCAGCAGAAGAAGCCCCGGCUAACUCCGUG